UACGUAGGGACCAAGCGUUGUUCGGAUUUACUGGGCGUAAAGGGCGCGUAGGCGGCAUGACAAGUCACUUGUGAAAUCUCCGGGCUUAACUCGGAACGGCCAAGUGAUACUGUCAAGCUAGAGUGCAGAAAGGGCAAUCGGAAUUCUUGGUGUAGCGGUGAAAUGCGUAGAUAUCAAGAGGAACACCUGAGGCGAAGGCGGGUGCUAGGCUGACACAUGACGCUGAAGCGCGAAAGCCAGGGGAGCAAACGGG
rnacentral:rRNA from 1 species